CUGGAAUUAAUAAUGUUUGUACAGUGUAAACGGCAGCGGUAUCGUGUUUCAAACUCUCUAAUAAAAAUACAUUACUCUUGUGCUUCAAUUCAGAAUUUUCUUUAUAAUAGUAAAUAACAGGAUACACAGUACACUGAUAACUGACCACAGGAUUGAGUGCGGUCAUGAUUUCGACUGGGAUGGCGUUAAGGUUCUCGAUCAUGAGAAAUUUUAUCAUAAGCGACUGAUUUCUGAAAUUUUAUGCAUUAAACAACAAUGUAACGGGCUCAAUUUACAAUCUGACACGGAUUUCUUACACCACGCAUAUUUAUCUAUUGUCGACAGUUUAUAGCUUGUUUUGCUAUCUAUUUAUCCUCAUCUGUAUGUUUGUUUAUCUCUCCGGAUAUCUGUUCGUACCGGCAGCACCAGUUCCCUUCUCAUUUCAAGUUUGACCGUUGUACAGACAAGACGUUCUCGAUUUGUCUCAAUUUCAAUUACUUAUUUAUUUACGCCUUUUGACAUGUGGUUAUUUGCGCUGACAAAAUUCUUUUGUACAUGGACAACUACUGACGUUGAGUCCGAAUCAUGUUCCGAUUUUCGAGCCUAACAACUCGUAUAAGCGUUACAUCUUCCGGAUGAGGAAGCCCUUCACCUCAACCUCAGCUGCGCCUUCGAAUUGUUACUGAAGAUGGCUCGAAGAAUGAGCCGAAACGUUUAAUAAUAAAUUAUGUAUAUCUGAAA